rnacentral:rRNA from 1 species
UACGAAGGGGGCUAGCGUUGUUCGGAAUUACUGGGCGUAAAGCGCACGUAGGCGGACUUUUAAGUCAGGGGUGAAAUCCCGGGGCUCAACCUCGGAACUGCCUUUGAUACUGCAAAUCUCGAGUCCGGAAGAGGUGAGUGGAAUUCCUAGCGUAGAGGUGAAAUUCGUAGAUAUUAGGAAGAACACCAGUGGCGAAGGCGGCUCACUGGUCCGGUACUGACGCUGAGGUGCGAAAGCGUGGGGAGCAAACAGG